GAUGAACGCUGGCGGCGUGCUUAACACAUGCCAGUCGAACGAAGCAUUUAAGACAGAUUUCUUCGGUUUGAAGUCUUUUAUGACUGAGUGGCGGACGGGUGAGUAACGCGUGGGUAACCUGCCUCAUACAGGGGGAUAGCAGCUGGAAACGGCUGGUAAUACCGCAUAAGCGCACAGUACCACAUGGUACAGUGUGAAAAACUCCGGUGGUAUGAGAUGGACCCGCGUCUGAUUAGCUUGUUGGCGGGGUAACGGCCCACCAAGGCGACGAUCAGUAGCCGACCUGAGAGGGUGACCGGCCACAUUGGGACUGAGACACGGCCCAGACUCCUACGGGAGGCAGCAGUGGGGAAUAUUGCACAAUGGAGGAAACUCUGAUGCAGCGACGCCGCGUGAGUGAAGAAGUAGUUCGCUAUGUAAAGCUCUAUCAGCAGGGAAGAUAGUGACGGUACCUGACUAAGAAGCUCCGGCUAAAUACGUG
rnacentral:rRNA from 1 species